rnacentral:misc_RNA from 1 species
UUGAAGCUCAUAAGCGUGCAAGCAGAUGCCGUCGCACCGCCUCACCUCGAAUGCGAGAGCGGGAAGCCGGGAACUGUGCCGGCCGUCGCUGCGCCACCAGCUGGUCAUAGUCACGGACACCACCAUGUCACCGCACAAGCAGCAGGUGCCGCCACGACACCGCGCAGGCGAGCUGUCGCCGCCAGAAGUACCAACGCAGGCACUGUCGCGGGCAAGCAUGCACACCGAGCAGCCAACAUCGCCGCCUCAUGGGCGUGCGCACGGGAGCAGGCACCGCCAUACGAGCAAGUAUGCAGCCUGGCUACCCGUGGGCAAGCACAUAUGCUAAGCCGUCGUGCCCGAACGCACGUAGGCUGGGCUGUUGACGCCGAAGGCGAGCAGGCGAGGGUAGAAACCGCCGCCACUGCCGUAAUCGAGCAAGCGUGGGCCUCGCCGCCACUGCCGCGAACAGGCACGGGCUUCCCGAGCGAGCAGGCCGAGCCGCUGCCGCAGGCAAGCGAGCAGGCUCCGUGCCGUCGCCCCGAGCAAGCACGCUGA